CUGUCAAUAUCCAAACCUAAACCAUCUGCCCACCCUCUCUGCCAGUACUGUAGUGAUUAACACUGAACUUGCCAUAUGCACCAUCAGUUUUAUUAACAAUCUCAUCGUCUUGCAUCUCUGGAGUUCCAUUUACUGUAUUUGCACAAGAAAUUGGGAUCUCCCUUCUCUCGUCACUGAUCAUUUCCUUACUGUCAAUAUCCAAACCUAAACCAUCUGCCCACCCUCUCUGCCAGUACUGUAGUGAUUAACACUGAACUUGCCAUAUGCACCAUCAGUUUUAUUAACAAUCUCAUCGUCUUGCAUCUCUGGAGUUCCAUUUACUGUAUUUGCACAAGAAAUUGGGAUCUCCCUUCUCUCGUCACUGAUCAUUUCCUUACUGUCAAUAUCCAAACCUAAACCAUCUGCGUCUUCAAUGUCCGAAGCAAUGGAUCUUGAUAAGUAUGCUGAUGUGCCACAUUCACAUAGAGAACACAGUGAUCUUGACAAGUUUGCUACUGUAGGCUCUGAUGCCACAUCAGAAUUACCAAGUUUAUGAAGCAGCUUCUCUAAAAAAUCCUUAGUGAUUUUAUCAUCAUUCUUUUGAAAAAGAGCUGUCCACUGCCUUUCACUGAUUUGAAAUGGGGCAUGAGCUAUAGUGUUUAUCAGGAUAAGAGCUCUUUCAUAAUUCUGUUGAGUUGUGGCUUCAUACACCAUUUCAGUGAAUAGGGAACGAUGAGGAAUGUCUCCAGCUUCCAAAGCUGAAUCAAAUGCAUGCUCCAGAAUAUGACCCUUUCCAGCUCUAGAUGCUUUCACAAGUAGUGAUGCAUGCUUGCAUUGAUCUAGUUGAUGCCCAGAGAAGACCAUGUCCUUGUACACAACUUCAAAGUAAUCCCACUGAAGUGCACUAGCAGUUGCCUCGAGCAUUGAGCUAUAUGUGUACUCAUCGGGUACAGGGGAAGUAUCACUGCCACUGGCUCUCUUAAUUUUCUCAAAUAACUCCUUGGCUUCAGAGAACAAAUCAUUCCGGCCAUAGACUUUCAACAUAACAUUUAUGGUCCCUAUGUUAGGGACACAUUGUGUUUUCAUGUAUUCAAAGAUAGAAAUGCAAUCAUUGAC
rnacentral:misc_RNA from 1 species